AACGCGAAGAACCUUACCUGGGCUUGUACAUCCCGAUCGUACCUGCUGGAAACGAGCGGGGUCAGUUCGGCUGGAUCGGAGACAGGUGCUGCAUGGCUGUCGUCAGCUCGUGUCGUGAGAUGUUGGGUUAAGUCCCGCAACGAGCGCAACCCUUGUCCUUAGUUGCCAUCAUUUAGUUGGGAACUCUGAAGAGACUGCCCGGUUAACGGGAGGAAGUGGGAUGACGUCAAGUCCUCAUGGCCCUUAUGUCUGGGGCUACACACGUGCUACAAUGGUAUGUACAAAGGGCAGCGACACAGCGAUGUGAAGCGAAUCCCGAAAAGCCGGUCUCAGUCCGGAUUGGAGUCUGCAACUCGACUCCAUGAAGUUGGAAUCGCUAGUAAUCGCGGAUCAGCACGCCGCGGUGAAUACGUUCCCGGGCCUU
rnacentral:rRNA from 1 species